AGAAUGAACGUUGGCGGCGUGGAUUAGGCAUGCAAGUCGAACGGGCUUAGUCUUCGGACUAGGUCAGUGGCGUAAGGGUGAGUAAGGCGACGGCAACCAACCCCAUGGUUGGGCAUAGCCGAGGGAAACUUCGGGUAAUACCGGGAGACAUCACCGCGAGGCAUCUCGUGGUGCUCAAAGGCGAAAGCCGCAAAAGGGGAGCGGGGCGAUAUCGGUAUCAGCUUGUUGGCGGGUAAUGGCCCACCAAGGCGACGAUCGUUAGCUGGUCUGAGAGGAUGAUCAGCCACACUGGGACUGAGACACGGCCCAGACUCCUACGGGAGGCAGCAGUGGGGAAUAUUGGACAAUGGCGCAAGCCUGAUCCAGCAAUGCCGCGUGAGUGAAGAAGGUCUUCGGAUUGUAAAGCUCUUUCGACGGGACGAUGAUGACGGUACCCGUAGAAGAGCCCGGCUAACUUCGUAGCCAGCAGCCGC
rnacentral:rRNA from 1 species